rnacentral:rRNA from 1 species
AUUGAACGCUGGCGGCAGGCUUAACACAUGCAAGUCGAGCGGAGCGAGGGUGCUUGCACCUUAGCUUAGCGGCGGACGGGUGAGUAAUGCUUAGGAAUCUGCCUAUUAGUGGGGGACAACAUUCCGAAAGGGAUGCUAAUACCGCAUACGCCCUACGGGGGAAAGCAGGGGAUCUUCGGACCUUGCGCUAAUAGAUGAGCCUAAGUCGGAUUAGCUAGUUGGUGGGGUAAAGGCCUACCAAGGCGACGAUCUGUAGCGGGUCUGAGAGGAUGAUCCGCCACACUGGGACUGAGACACGGCCCAGACUCCUACGGGAGGCAGCAGUGGGGAAUAUUGGACAAUGGGGGGAACCCUGAUCCAGCCAUGCCGCGUGUGUGAAGAAGGCCUUUUGGUUGUAAAGCACUUUAAGCGAGGAGGAGGCGCUCUAGGAUAAUACCCUAGAUGCGUGGACGUACUCGCAGAUAAGCC